CGGUCCAGACUCCUACGGGAGGCAGCAGUAGGGAAUUCCCCGCAAUGUGCGAAAGCCUGACGGAGCAAUGCCGCGUGAGUGAAGAAGGCCUUCGGGUCGUAAAACUCUUUAUAAGAGAAGAACAAAUUGUAGAGUAUCUCUCGUCUGUCUUGACGGUAUCUUAUCAGAAAGCCACGGGAAUACGUGCCAGCAGCCGCGGUAA
rnacentral:rRNA from 1 species